rnacentral:rRNA from 1 species
UAAGGAAUAUUGGUCAAUGGCGGCAACUCUGAACCAGCCAUGCCGCGUGCAGGAUGAAGGCCCUAUGGGUCGUAAACUGCUUUUAUACCAGAGAAAACCUCAGUACGUGUACUGAGCUGAUAGUAUGGUAAGAAUAAGCAUCGGCUAACUUCGUGCCAGCAGCCGCGGUAAGACGAAGGAUGCAAGCGUUAUCCGGAUUCAUUGGGUUUAAAGGGUGCGUAGGCGGACUGGUAAGUCAGUGGUGAAAUCUCUUUGCUUAACAAAGAAACUGCCAUUGAUACUGCUAGUCUAGAGUAUAGAUGACGUUGGCGGAAUAUGACAUGUAGUGGUGAAAUACUUAGAUAUGUCAUAGAACACCGAUUGCGAAGGCAGCUAACGAAACUAUAACUGACGCUGAGGCACGAAAGUGCGGGGAUCAAACAG